rnacentral:rRNA from 1 species
AUUGAACGCUGGCGGCAUGCUUUACACAUGCAAGUCGAACGGUAACAGGGUGCUUGCACCGCUGACGAGUGGCGAACGGGUGAGUAAUGCGUCGGAACGUGCCGAGUAGUGGGGGAUAACGCAGCGAAAGUUGUGCUAAUACCGCAUACGUACUGAGGUAGAAAGUGGGGGACCUUCGGGCCUCACGCUAUUCGAGCGGCCGACGUCUGAUUAGCUAGUAGGUGAGGUAAAGGCUCACCUAGGCGACGAUCAGUAGCGGGUCUGAGAGGAUGAUCCGCCACACUGGGACUGAGACACGGCCCAGACUCCUACGGGAGGCAGCAGUGGGGAAUUUUGGACAAUGGGCGAAAGCCUGAUCCAGCCAUGCCGCGUGUGUGAAGAAGGUCUUCGGAUUGUAAAGCACUUUAAGUUGGGAGGAAGGGUUGUAAGCUAAUAUCUUGCAGCUUUGACGUUACCAACAGAAUAAGCACCGGCUAACUCUGUGCCAGCAGCCGCCGUAAAAC